GCUCUCCAAAAAUAUAGCAGUGCUUUCAGGAAAUAUGAUAGAGUGUGGGUUCCAAUUACCCCUGCCACAGAAACGUCUGAAUCCACUGUUAAAAUUCAAAAAGAGAAUGUUGCAGUAUGUUGUGAUUCUUCAUCAACUCUUUCAAAAUUGCAUAGUGCUGCCGAUAAUGAAAGCAACUCAAAUUCCAUUUCAUUUCAUAGCCUGCAUCCACAAUUCAUUGGUUAUACCCGUGGGAAGCUACAUGAAUUGGUAAUGAAAUCUUAUAAGAGCCGGGAGUUCGCUGCUG
rnacentral:misc_RNA from 1 species